rnacentral:lncRNA from 1 species
UAUCCAUGUUUUGAUCUUUAUUUUUUAAUUCUACUUCACACUCGGUUAUUAUGGAGUAUUAUUAAAUUUGGAUAAACCGAAAUACGAAUUCCUAAUAUUUGUCCUUCUGUCUCACUGGAUUCGUUCUCUAAAAUAUUUUUCAUAAUCCUCAGUCCUUAAUGGUGAUACUUGAUGAAUAUCUUUGGCCUUGAGUGCAAAGAUGAAUGAUUACCUGAUGAAUAUCUUUGGCCCGAGUGCAAAGAUGAACAGGUGUUGAGAUGAACAUGACCAACUGGUGAUACAAAUGAAUAUCUUUGGCCCGUAGUGCAAAGAUGAAUAUUUGAUGCAAUAUGUAUAUUGAUUGAUGUUACAUGGAUAAAAUAUUGAUGAUGGACUUUUAAAU